UACGUAGGGUGCAGGCGUUAAUCGGAAUUACUGGGCGUAAAGCGUGCGCAGGCGGUUUCUUAAGUCAGAUGUGAAAGCCCCGGGCUUAACCUGGGAACUGCGUUUGAAACUGGGAGACUUGAGUGUGGCAGAGGGGGGUGGAAUUCCAUGUGUAGCAGUGAAAUGCGUAGAUAUGUGGAGGAACACCGAUGGCGAAGGCAGCCCCCUGGGUUAACACUGACGCUCAUGCACGAAAGCGUGGGGAGCAAACAGG
rnacentral:rRNA from 1 species